GAUGAACGCUGGCGGCGUGCCUAAUACAUGCAAGUCGAGCGAACAGACGAGGAGCUUGCUCCUCUGACGUUAGCGGCGGACGGGUGAGUAACACGUGGAUAACCUACCUAUAAGACUGGGAUAACUUCGGGAAACCGGAGCUAAUACCGGAUAAUAUAUUGAACCGCAUGGUUCAAUAGUGAAAGACGGUUUUGCUGUCACUUAUAGAUGGAUCCGCGCCGCAUUAGCUAGUUGGUAAGGUAACGGCUUACCAAGGCAACGAUGCGUAGCCGACCUGAGAGGGUGAUCGGCCACACUGGAACUGAGACACGGUCCAGACUCCUACGGGAGGCAGCAGUAGGGAAUCUUCCGCGAUGGGCGAAAGCCUGACGGAGCAACGCCGCGUGAGGGAUGAAGGUCUUCGGAUCGUAAAACUCUGUUAUUAGGGAAGAACAAAUGUAUAAGUAACUAUGCACGUCUUGACGGUACCUAAUCAGAAAGCCACGGCUAACUACGUG
rnacentral:rRNA from 1 species